rfam:Ictidomys tridecemlineatus contig022310, whole genome shotgun sequence.
UAAGGGAGAAAAGACCUCACUUUUCUGAUAGUUUAUAUUCCCUUAAAUGUACUGAAGAGUAAAAUCUAAAAUGAUUCCAUCUUUAGUGGAAUGAAAUCUCUCAGGCAGACAGUGGAUACAAUGUGGCAAUCCUGGAAUUUGUUAAUUUGUGCAAAAUGAACAAGGAAACCUUCCCUGGUGACACAGCUGCUCUGCCGG